AUACUUACCUGGCAGGCGAGAUACCAUGAUCAUGAAGGUGAUUUUCCCAGGGCGAGGCUUAUCCAUUGCACUCCAGAUGUGCUGACCCCUGCGAUUUCCCCAAAUGUGGGAAACUCGACUGCAUAAUUUGUGGUAGUGGAGGACUGCAUUCAUGCUUUCCUCUG
rnacentral:snRNA from 1 species